GGUGGGCAUGGUGGCGAAUGCCUGUGAUCCAGUGACUAAGGAGGCUGAGGCAGGAGGAUCAUGAGUUCAAAGCCAGCUUCAGCAAUGGCAAGGCACUAAGCAACUUAGUGAGACCCUGUCUCUA
rnacentral:sRNA from 1 species